CACGUAGGGCGCAAGCGUUGUCCGGAAUUAUUGGGCGUAAAGAGCUCGUAGGCGGUCUGUUGCGUCCGCUGUGAAAACUCGGGGCUUAACCCCGAGCCUGCAGUGGAUACGGGCAGACUAGAGUCAGGUAGGGGAGAACGGAAUUCCUGGUGUAGCGGUGAAAUGCGCAGAUAUCAGGAGGAACCCCGGUGGCGAAGGCGGUUCUCUGGGCCUGUACUGACGCUGAGGAACGAAAGCGUGGGGAGCGAACAGG
rnacentral:rRNA from 1 species